GGAUCGGUAGCUCAGCGGCAGAGCGGUAGGGCGUUGACCCAUGCGACCCGGGUUCGAGUCCCGGUCAAUGCA